rnacentral:rRNA from 1 species
CAGGCCUAACACAUGCAAGUCGAGCGCCCCGCAAGGGGAGCGGCAGACGGGUGAGUAACACGUGGGAAUCUACCUUUUGCUACGGAACAACUCCGGGAAACUGGAGCUAAUACCGUAUGUGCCCUUCGGGGGAAAGAUUUAUCGGCAAGGGAUGAGCCCGCGUCGGAUUAGCUAGUUGGUGGGGUAAAGGCCUACCAAGGCGACGAUCCGUAGCUGGUCUGAGAGGAUGAUCAGCCACACUGGGACUGAGACACGGCCCAGACUCCUACGGGAGGCAGCAGUGGGGAAUAUUGGACAAUGGGGGCAACCCUGAUCCAGCCAUGCCGCGUGAGUGAUGAAGGCCCUAGGGUUGUAAAGCUCUUUCACCGGUGAAGAUAAUGACGGUAACCGGAGAAGAAGCCCCGGCUAACUUCGUGCCAGCAGCCGCGGUAAU